rnacentral:lncRNA from 1 species
AUCAUUAACAAAAAUAUAACAUUUAUGUUAGUAGCUUGAUGUAUCCAUGUUUGCAUUUAGGCGGUGUCUCUCAAUCCGUCUUUGGAUGAGGUGAAGACCAGGGAAGGUCCUACUAGUCAAACAGGUUUAACUGAAAGCCCGACUCCGCUUCCCCAUCAGCUUCAGGAUGGAAAGAUAGUUGGAGAGGUUAGCAGAGCAGCAGCAUAUCAAGACCCAGAGUUGGUGUCUCUGAAUCCAUCUGUGGAUGAGGUGAAGUUUUGGGAGAGUACUUCUGUUCAAGCAAGUGUGACUGAAAGCCGACCUACUCCUCUUCCCCAUCAGUAUAAGGAUGGGAAGGCAGUUGGUGAGGUCAGCAGGGCAGCAGCAAAUCAAGACCCAGAGGAAAAGUAUGACGGGAAACCCUUCUUACGCACAGACGGCUCUGGUCAGAUCAUUGAGGUCGGACCUCAGGUGACCCUCAAAAGUAGCGCUGAUAAGGAGGCUUCUCAGGUGUCAAAGGCUGG